rnacentral:rRNA from 1 species
UGGGGAAUAUUGGACAAUGGGGGCAACCCUGAUCCAGCCAUGCCGCGUGCGUGAAGAAGGCCUUAGGGUUGUAAAGCGCUUUCAGCGGGGACGAUGAUGACGGUACCCGCAGAAGAAGCCCCGGCUAACUCCGUGCCAGCAGCCGCGGUAAUACGGAGGGGGCAAGCGUUGUUCGGAAUUACUGGGCGUAAAGGGCGCGUAGGCGGCACAUCAAGUCAGAGGUGAAAGCCCCGGGCUCAACCUGGGAAUUGCCUUUGAAACUGAUGAGCUAGAGUUCGGAAGAGGAUAGCGGAAAUCCCAGUGGAGAGGUGAAAGUCGUAGGUAUUGGGAAGAACACCAGUGGCGAAGGCGGCUAUCUGGUCCGGUACUGACGCUGAGGUGCGAAAGCGUGGGGAGCAAACAGGAUUAGAUACCCCUGUAGUCC